AACUAAUGGAGAGAAGAAAGGUGGGUGUGAGAAGUCAGAAGAGGUGAUGGGAACACAUUAAACUCUAGUCUUCUAUAGCACAGUAGGAUGACCACAGCAAAAGAACUACAAGGCAGGGGCAAGAAGAUUCCUAAACAUAAAGAAAUGGAAAUAGCAACUGUUUUGAGAUCAUGAGUGGCAAUUAUUCUGAUUUAGUCAUCGUACAUGGGAUCUGUCACCCUAAGCAUAAUGUACAAUUAUAUGCAGCUAAAAUGCAAAACAAUGUGUUAUUUUAUGUACAAAAGAGCAAAAAAGUGUUAUAUCAUCUGCUUUCCUGAAAGAACAUCUGGCCUUUAAUAUUUCUGGACUACUUCUACAUUUGAACAUAGUUGUACAUUAACAAGAACAGAUUCACAGACUGGGGAUGUAUCUCAGUGGUGCGGCCCUUGACUAACUUAUAAGGUUUUGAGUUCAAUCCUCACCACCACACUCAUAGAAAUAAAUUAGAGUUAUAUAUAGUUAAAAUGCAUAAUUGUUUUAAAAUGAAUUAUAGAAUUCAUCUGUAUAGUUAACAUUAUACAGGAGUUUAUUACUUUAAAACAAGUCAUUUAUUGUAUGCUUAAACCGAUUCCAAUGUUAUUAGUCUAUGCACUGAACUGGAGCUGGAAGUUUAGGAUCUACCCUCAAAUAGCUCCUCCCUCCCUCUCUUGCUUCCUCCUUCCAUUCCUUCCUCCCACCCUCCAUGCCUCUCUUCCUCUCUUUCUUCCUCCCCUUCCUCUUAACUUUCAAGAUUAAAAAAAAAAUUUUUAGAUUUAUCUAUCAUUUACUUCUUUGUUUCUCUUCUUUUUUUCCCAUUUAUUUUACAUACCGACCACUCUUGUUCCUUUUCCCCACCUCUCUCCUAUGCCCUGCCCAAUCCACUCCUUCUCCAUCUCCAUUCAGAAAGGGGCAGGCCUCCCAUGGGAAUCAACAAAGCAUGGCCCAUCAAGUUGAGGCAGGACCAAGCUCCUCCCCCUGCAUCAAGGUUGGGGAGGCAACCCAGCUUGAGGACUGAGUUCCCAAAAGCCAGCUCAAGUGCCAGGGACAGGUCCUGAUCUCAUUGCUAGGAGCCCCACAAACAGACCAAGCUACACAACUGUCACACACAUACAGAGGGCCUAGGUGGGUCUCACACAGACAUAAGCAUACACAUAAUUUAAAUUUUUUUUAAAAAUAAACAUUAAUUUUUUUCUAAUUAUGUGCAUGCUUAUGUCUGUGUGUAUGUGCUUAUGGAUGCAGGCACCCUUGGUAGCUAGAAGUGGGCGUUGGAUCCUGAAGCACCUGAGUUACAGGUGGCUGUGAGCCACUCCAUGUAGGUGCUGGGAGCAGAACUCAAGUCUUCUGCAAGGGCAGUGCACACUCUUAACUACUUAACUCUCAAAUGGCCUUUUUCCAGAAGAGACCAAAGACUUGUAUGUAGGAUCUGCUACAUAAUUGUGGAGCCUUCAAUAACUUGAAAUUGCAGAGAAAGACUAAAAAUGUAGGAAUUUUAAAAGAACCCAAGUGCAGCAUUAAAACCAAUAUCAUCAUGAAAACUGUGCCAUCUCAUGGCCUCAUGCCCAUUAAGUCAGCCCUGGAUGUAAGUGUAAUUUUAAGUCAGCCCUGGAUAGUGAGUGCCUUAGGGGAACAGCAUGUUAUCCUGUCCCAGGAACACGAGGGACUUUGUGCUUCCAUCUGGACAGCUCUUGUGCCUUUCCGAAACAGCAUGGAGUAACCAAGACAGACCUGACUGCUGUUAGCAAAAAGUGACAGGCCAUGAAUCACACCUGAAAAAAAAAAAGAAAAAACCACAACAACAAGCAAACAAAAAAAUAUAUAUACUUACGUUAAAUUACAUAGGACAUUUUGUUUCAAACACAGAAUCCAACAUUUGGAGAGGGCAGUCAUUUUUAUACAUGAAGAAUUAUGAGGCCGACAUAGUGUUGAACACCAAAUGUUUGUGAUUUUGUUCUCUGAUCUGUGGGAGCCAAAGAAACUCAUACUGUGCUCUUUUUUUGUGUUCUAACCCAGUGAAGAUAAUAUAAUUCUAAGAAAGCAAAUGAAACUUAUUCCAGGACAGAACAUCAAUCGUUUUUUGUUCCUUUUUUUUUUUUUUUUUUUUUUACAAUAAGAGUGAACAGACCAACAGGCUUGUGGCUUUUCUUAUUUGGAGUAACUUCAAUGUCUAAAAGUUGCUAAGUUACACUUUUAAUAAUAAGAGAUUUCAAGGCCAGGAGAUUAAUGAUCCAUGACCCUAUUUAAGAGAAAUAUUAGUGCUACAUCAUGAGGCAAGAGGGCUGAAUAUAGUAAUGGGAACUUCGGGUAAUGUGUUCAGCCACUUUCGUAGCUUCUUUUACUCUGCUGUUCAUAGUCAGUUUGGCGUGGCACUUCUUUAUUAGACCAUUUGUAGAGAUUAUUUCAUCAUCUCACAUUCACUAAUAGUUACAUUAGAAAAUUGUGUGAUCUAUGCAGAGUAACCACUGUACAUCAAUUAUCACUUGGAAAGUUAGUUCUAGAUCUGAUAGAAAUAUAUGUCUAAAGUAAGCUAAAUGAGACUUGCAGCUCAUGGGCUCAUUUCCCUACAACCAUCCCUCAGUUCCUCUUUCUUGACAGCCUCUCCUUCCUCAGGAAGCAUUGACUCCUUCUGCCUUGGAUAUGAACAACUUGGUCCUCCCCAUGAAACCCGAGCCUCAACCUCAACCACCACACGAAGAGGACACAACCUGGGCAGAGAGCAACUUCUGAAGGUCUCUUGAAGCCAAACUUGGCUACAACCCUGGAUGUCUGGAGUGGAAACUUCAAAGGAGAAACCAGCUUCUGUGGAUUAGUGGCCAUGAGAGCUUUAAGGGUAAGUAAAACCCUUGACUGGGAUUAAAAAAAAAAAAUUGGCAUUGGCUCAUUCUGCUGAAAGCACAAAGCGUUUUAGGAGGAACACAUCACCUUUUAAAAUAAAUGACUAAUAUCUGUAUAAAAGACAGUGAGUCGUUCAUCCGAGAAGCAUCUUCAGGGCAACAUCUUCCGGCACUGAGAGAUCAGGGCAGCUCACAGCCUCAUGGCUUCUGAACGCCAACCAUAAGAAGAGCUGGGAAUAUUUUAGAGAACUCGAAACGAAUCCCCCAGGGACGUUCAUUUUGACCCAAAUAGGAAAGGUUGGGUUUCCAGAACUAGCUUUUUCCUCCUUCCUACACAAAAGAAAUUUAUAAAUAACAAAACUGGUGCUUUGGUGUUUUAUAAUUUCUAUGGUAAACUCGGAGAGUUAUUACUAGAAAGAGACGUUUCAGCCCCUAGAGGAUGAAACUGAAUGGCAGCAUGGAGGGCUAUGAUUCGUCCCACUCUGAAUGAACCUCAGGUUCUCAUGACCGGGGCAGUUUGACAGCCUACUGGGAGUAUUAGAAAGCCAGUGAGCAAUAAAGAUAUUUCCUAUGUAGCAGCAGCAACAAUAAUAAUAAUAAUAAACACAUAGGCAAAUGAUGCUUAAUAAACACAGCAUGUUGACUGUCAGAGAGCCCUUAGAGCUCUAGCCAGCAUCACUCAUGGCUGACCAGGCCUCAUGGAGAGUGCUUGCUGAACAAGGGGUGACUCCCUUCUCUUUGAACAGUGCCUGUGUCCAUUACCAUACAUUUGUUGGUCUGUAAUGUAACAUUCAUUUAUAAAAUGGAAAUUUUAUACAUUUGCUCCCUAAUAAUUCUAUUAGCAAAUAUACUCCUGAGGAAUUCGCAUCCCAAGGCAAUCGCUUCCAGGACAGAUACCAUGCUAGCUUGAACCCUCCUGGGGUACACUUCCUGGUUUCAAUUUUAUUUCUGAUCUUCAAGUAUUACUUACCAUUGUGUCUCCACUCAGAACCUCUGGAUUGGUCUUCAUCUCUUUAGUACUUUACAACUUGUCUUAAGAUUGUAGAUUUUAAUGUUGUCUCCUGUGCAUAGUCAGCAUUAAGAAAGGCAGAGGAGGAGGAGGAGGAGAAAGAGGAGGAGGAGAAGAAGAAGAAAGAAGAAGAAGAAGAAGAAGAAGAAGAAGAAGAAGAAGAAGAAGAAGAAGAAGAAGAAGAAGAAGAAGAAGAAGACAACCCUUCAUUAUAUAUCUUUCGGCUUCCAAACUUGAGGGGGGAUUUCUUAUAAAGAGAAAGGUUGCACAGCCUAUUGCUAUUAGGAAGAUUACACACAUGCAUAUUCAUUGAUGCUCUCGAUAACACAUGACAAGAAGGCAGGGCCUCCAAAUGGAAAUGUCUCGGGUACUGUGGAGAAUGACUGGUCGGCAGUGUCCUCAGAUCUUGAGAAUUCUGGACAUCCUUAGCAAAAAGGUGAAUUGGAACAGCAGGCUUUCAGAGGAGUGUGGAAUGAGUGUUGAGUGGAAAGUAAAUAUGGGCAAAAGAUUGAUUGUCAUUCCAGAGAAAUAUGAGUUUAAGUUAUUUUUACCUCUUCCACAGUAGGAAAAAAUAAAACAUUUUUGCAAUAUCUAAUGUGGUUAUUAAGUAUUUGGUUAACAAAUGGAGUAUUUA